UAUCGAUAUGUGAAUACAUAGCAUAUCAGAAGGCACACCCGGAGAACUGAAACAUCUUAGUACCCGGAGGAAGAGAAAGAAAAUUCGAUUCCCUUAGUAGCGGCGAGCGAAACAGGAAGAGCCCAAACCAACAAGCUUGCUUGUUGGGGUUGUAGGACACUCUAUACGGAGUUACAAAGGACGACAUUAGACGAAUCAUCUGGAAAGAUGAAUCAAAGAAGGUAAUAAUCCUGUAGUCGAAAAUGUUGUCUCUCUUGAGUGGAUCCUGAGUACGACGGAGCACGUGAAAUUCUGUCGGAAUCUGGGAGGACCAUCUCCUAAGGCUAAAUACUCUCUAGUGACCGAUAGUGAACCAGUACCGUGAGGGAAAGGUGAAAAGCACCCCGGAAGGGGAGUGAAAUAGAACCUGAAACCGUGUGCUUACAAGUAGUCAGAGCCCGUUAAUGGGUGAUGGCGUGCCUUUUGUAGAAUGAACCGGCGAGUUACGAUUUGAUGCAAGGUUAAGCAGUAAAUGUGGAGCCGUAGCGAAAGCGAGUCUGAAUAGGGCGUUUAGUAUUUGGUCGUAGACCCGAAACCAGGUGAUCUACCCUUGGUCAGGUUGAAGUUCAGGUAACACUGAAUGGAGGACCGAACCGACUUACGUUGAAAAGUGAGCGGAUGAACUGAGGGUAGCGGAGAAAUUCCAAUCGAACCUGGAGAUAGCUGGUUCUCUCCGAAAUAGCUUUAGGGCUAGCCUCAAGUGAUGAUUAUUGGAGGUAGAGCACUGUUUGGACGAGGGGCCCCUCUCGGGUUACCGAAUUCAGACAAACUCCGAAUGCCAAUUAAUUUAACUUGGGAGUCAGAACAUGGGUGAUAAGGUCCGUGUUCGAAAGGGAAACAGCCCAGACCACCAGCUAAGGUCCCAAAAUAUAUGUUAAGUGGAAAAGGAUGUGGCGUUGCCCAGACAACUAGGAUGUUGGCUUAGAAGCAGCCAUCAUUUAAAGAGUGCGUAAUAGCUCACUAGUCGAGUGACACUGCGCCGAAAAUGUACCGGGGCUAAACAUAUUACCGAAGCUGUGGAUUGUCCUUUGGACAAUGGUAGGAGAGCGUUCUAAGGGCGUUGAAGCAUGAUCGUAAGGACAUGUGGAGCGCUUAGAAGUGAGAAUGCCGGUGUGAGUAGCGAAAGACGGGUGAGAAUCCCGUCCACCGAUUGACUAAGGUUUCCAGAGGAAGGCUCGUCCGCUCUGGGUUAGUCGGGUCCUAAGCUGAGGCCGACAGGCGUAGGCGAUGGAUAACAGGUUGAUAUUCCUGUACCACCUAUAAUCGUUUUA
rnacentral:rRNA from 1 species